UACGUAGGGGGCAAGCGUUGUCCGGAUUUAUUGGGCGUAAAGAGCGUGUAGGCGGCCUGGUAGGUCAGCUGUGAAAACUCGAGGCUCAACCUCGAGACGCCGGUUGAAACCAUCAGGCUAGAGUCCGGAAGAGGAGAGUGGAAUUCCCGGUGUAGCGGUGAAAUGCGCAGAUAUCGGGAAGAACACCCGUGGCUAAGGCGGCUCUCUGGUACGGUACUGACGCUGAGACGCGAAAGCGUGGGGAGCGAACAGG
rnacentral:rRNA from 1 species